ACUUCUACUAUAUAGUAAAAGUACUUCUACCUAAAGUAGAGGUAGCACUCGGAGAGCCAGCCGGGGUAGCGAGGCGAAGAGAAGACCAACCUUGCAAAUGCAAAAUAAUGCAAAUUGCUAAGUCGAUCUUCUCUUGAGAGCAGCCACGCGCAUACCUGGCAAAUGUAAAACAACAAGCAUUAGUAACAAAUACUCGACAUGCAAAUUUUGAAUCCCAUGGCCGAAAUGACAAGUGCCCCCCACUGAUUCCUACCAGCUGCCUACCUGCCUCAAUCCUAAGCUGUCUGCCUCAGUCCUAAGCUGUCUGCCUUGGUCCUAAGCUACCUGCAUUCCAUUCGUAACUUCCGCUUUCCUCACCAUCACACAGACACUCACAACUGCCCAACCUGCCACCAGCCCGAACUGCCCACCCUUAAAACUGAAGGAAUUAAAAUUUUGGUAAAGUAUACAUAAUUAAUU
rnacentral:lncRNA from 1 species